UUCCAGCUCCAAUAGCGUAUAUUAAAGUUGUUGCAGUUAAAAAGCUCGUAGUUGGAUCUCAGGGUGAGCUCAGUUGGUCGGCCUAAUUGGUCAGAACUGGCUGACUCUCCCUUGUUUCUGAAUCCCGGUCGGAGUUAAUUCUUCGUUCGUGGACUUCAGAUCGUUUACCUUGAAAAAAUUAGAGUGUUCAAAGCGGGCGUUUGCUUGAAUACAUUAGCAUGGAAUAAUGGAAUAGGACCCUGGUUCUAUUUUGUUGGUUUUGAGGACCAGAGUAAUGAUUAAUAGGGAUAGUUGGGGGCAUUCAUAUUUAAUUGUCAGAGGUGAAAUUCUUGGAUUUAUGAAAGAUGAACUUCUGCGAAAGCAUUUGCCAAGGAUGGUUUCAUUG
rnacentral:rRNA from 1 species